GACGAAGGUGGCGAGCGUUGUUCGGAAUCACUGGGCAUAAAGCGCACGUAGGCGGCGACGUAAGUUGGGUGUGAAAUCCCUCGGCCCAACCGAGGAACUGCGCCCAGUACUGCGUUGCUUGAGGAUCCAAGGGGUGCAUGGAAUUCCCGGUGGAGCGGUGAAAUGCGUUGAUAUCGGGAGGAACACCAGUGGCGAAGGCGAUCAUCUGGGACUAACCUGACGCUGAGGAGCGAAAGCCAGGGGAGCAAACGGG
rnacentral:rRNA from 1 species